rnacentral:rRNA from 1 species
AGUCUGGUGCCAGCAGCCGCGGUAAUUCCAGCUCCAAUAGCGUAUAUUAAACUUGUUGCAGUUAAAAAGCUCGUAGUUGAAUUUCUGCGUUAUCGAGUUAUUGACUCUUGUCUUUAAUCGAUUUCGCUUUUGGGAUUUAUCCCUUUUUACUUUGAGAAAAUUAGAGUGUUUCAAGCAGACUUUUGUCUUGAAUACUUCAGCAUGGAAUAAUAGAGUAGGACUUUGGUUCUAUUUUGUUGGUUUUUGAACCUUAGUAAUGGUUAAUAGGAACGGUUGGGGGCAUUCGUAUUUAACUGUCAGAGGUGAAAUUCUUAGAUUUGUUAAAGACGAACUACUGCGAAAGCAUUUGCCAAGGACGUUUCCAUUAAUCAAGAACGAAAGUUAGGGGAUCGAAGACGAUCAGAUACCGUCGUAGUC